UUGUACUACCAUGCAUCCCUGAGUGUCCUCAAAGCUGUGUCUCAUUUUGGAAGCUAAGCAGGCUUGGGACUGGUCAGUACUUGGGUGGGAGACCACUGGGGAAUACAUGGAAUCUCCAGA
rnacentral:rRNA from 1 species